rnacentral:lncRNA from 1 species
GCUGAAAUUUUUCUCUGUUUUGGAUACUAAUUAAGCAUGUUGAGAGUAGUUGUAAAAUAUCAAAACCUCUAUAACUAGAUGCUAUGUAGAGUCUUAUGUGAUUACCAAGAAGAAUUACUUGAUUUGGAUAUGUAUAGUUAAAGUUAUGAAUUUUGUAAGCCAAUAGUGUCAACCUCCCUGCUAUAGUUGAAAUUCUGUUGUGUACUUCAUUUUCAAAAAUGCAUAACUUAAUAACUACACGUCCAAAUCUGCUUUUGUUGUUUUUAUAAUGUGGUUAUGUGAUUAGUCUUUGGUUUGUAUUCUUUGAAUAUAUCUGUGGUACAAGGGAGUACAAGUGCAAUUGUGGAUCUACCUUCUCCAGGUUAGGAUUAUACCAAAAAUCUCUCUUUAAUUUAUAGUUUUAAUUCUUACCUUCUCAUUCCCUUCCCAUAAAUGUUAUUUUAUUUAAUUUUGUCUUGUUUAUGAUUUAUUGAACUCAAAGGUUUGUAUUGGGCAGAGGAAUUGAUUUACCAGGGUCCUUCUGUAGAAUUAUUUUUUGUUUGUGUUUAUAUAUAGAUUAAAGAUAAUAUAAAGCAUUAAAUAUAAAAAUCCAAAUUAAUUCAACGUCUUUGCAUUCUCACCUUAGAAAAACGCAGCAAACCAUACAAUGUGUAUAGGUUUGUUCUAUAUCUCAUGUGUUGUUUUGCUACAUGUAGGGAUUUACUGGUUUUAUAUAAUGUAGUGAAAUUUUGUCCAUACCUUUGCUAUUGGUUUGUAUAUAAGAAAAUAAAUUCAAUUGCUAAUAUAUAUGAUUCAUAUUUAUAUUAGUUGGUAUAUGCAUGCAUUGGUCAAGUUUGGAUGAAUCAAAGUGUAACUAACUCCUUUUGCAGGCGUGAUAGUUUAAUCAAUCACCAUUCAAUAUGCCAAGUGUUUGUGGGAGAGGUGGCUAGGCACACAACAAAUUGGCCCCAGCACCAGCAUGACUGCUGGAAUACAUGCAAAUGUUAGUAAUAUGCCUUUUCGUCCAAUUUGGGAGUCAAAACUUAAUAUUCCUAGAUCCUCUGAAUAUUCGGAGAUUCGUGGCUUUCCUAGCAACAUAGCACCAAGCAACAUGUUUGAUUUUGGUUUUGAUGGUAGUGCAAAACCAAAACCAAGUUGGAAUUUGAAUAUGAAAGGAGGAAGAUAACAAAGACCUAAUCUAGAUGCAGACUUUGGACCGAGAGGCACCAAUGUUGCUAAUUAUAUUUGCAGAUGGUUAACAUGUCAAUUUUUUGUUGGCAAAUUUGGGUUUGUGGCAACACCACUAGUUAACAUGUCAAUUCUAUGUCAUUCCAAAAUUUAUUAAUUUAUGAUUCAAUAAAUUGUAUAAACGGAAAGGUUUGUAAUCUUAGCAGAGAAGUCCUUUGGUGAUAACCGAGUUGUGCUUCAAUUAAUCAUGUCAGCAAUGGCAUCGUCGUGUUUCGGGUUGUGUCAGAUGUACCUGACCUUAAUUAAGAUAAAACCUGUAUAGCUUAUAUUUC